AUUCCCUUAACAUCUGAAAUUCAAUUAAAAAAUAAAAAUCCUAACAAAAUAUAGCUCCAGAUAGCACAUCAAAAACAUAGUUGUAAGGAUAAAUAGUAUAAUGGCAUUGAAAACAUGCAUCUUAAUAUGUAAUACUUGAGAGUGGAUUCGGUGAACAUGGGGAUACGUGAGCACCCCUUGGCAGCCGUUUGAUCCGCUCUGAGAUUCGGUUACAGGCAGGUUGGCGGUUGACUGGUCUUUGUCUUAUGCAGCACUAAUUCUACACUAGGCGUGGGCUGAGUGUUCCUCUCUCCAAUAAUUGCUGCCGCCAAUCAUUAGCAUUGCAUGCUCGGGUGCUUCUUUGGCGGGCUAUUUUGCGCGAUAGCUAAAAAAAGGCGCGUACCAGCGCAUGAAGGAAUCUUUCCAUUCUCUGGCUCUGUAUCGCUCGUGAUCUCUACGGCAGUCACAACAACUACAAGAGCAUCCGUAGACGGCCGUAAGCAAAAAAAGUGUCCCAGUGGCUGGUCUAUAUGGACGUCUAAUUUAGACGACCUCCACAUCCUGGUACCCAUCGUCCAGAUCUGGACGACGGUGCCACGCUCGUCCAUCCCAACUGCUCGGCCGCGAGCUGCCUCCCGCGUCCAUCCAGAAGAGUUGGAGGACCAGGACGAGCGCCACUCCCGCAACUUCGUCGCUGCCCCGCUCGCCAGCUCCAGACGGCGCUGGAGCUGGCGGUGGCGACGAGCUGCUCAGGACUUGGUGUGAAGGGCCGGUACUAAAAUAUUGUUUAAGGCUUUAGGACUUGGUGAUAAGAACGAAUAUGUGAUGUGAGCAUACUGUGCGGUCCGUGAGUGAAGAAUCUUGAACAGUGCUUGUUUUGGCUUGUUUAAUCAUGUGCCAGAGAUACUUUGAGCUGACUGCUAGCUGCUAAAAAAAAUACCAGCUAAGGCCGCACUGUUCAUCUUCUCCUA